rnacentral:rRNA from 1 species
AAGGAAGAAGGUUUUCAGGAUCGUAAACBUCUAUCAGCAGGGAAGAAUAAUGACGGUACCUGAMUAAGAAGCCCCGGCUAACUCACGUGCCAGCAGCCGCGGUAAUACGUAGGGGGCAAGCGUUAUCCGGAAUUACUGGGUGUAAAGGGUGCGUAGGCGGUACGAUAAGUCAGAUGUGAAAGCCCCGGGCUCAACCUGGGGACUGCAUUUGAAACUAUCGAACURGAGUGCGAGGAGAGGAGAAGUGGAAUUCCGUAGUGUAGCGGUGAAAUGCGUAGAGAUURGGUGGAACACCAGUGGCGAAGGCGACUUUCUGGACUGUAAGCUGACGCUGAGGCRCGAAAGCGUGGGGAGCGAACAGGAUUAGAUACCCUGGUAGUCCACGCUGUAAACGAUGARUGCUAGGUG